UUUUUUUUGCUUUUAUUUUUUCCCAUUGUAUUACAUGUUUUAGGAGAAUAACUUUAUGUUAUUUCUCUAGCAUAUUUUGAGCACAUAAAUUGUGGCUUGACAUAACGCUAAAUUGUCCCAAUUUGAUUAUUCUAAUCACUAACCAUUAACUCUUUAUUUAUUUUUAUGCUAAUUCUUGUUUAUCUUAUGUGGUUACUUGGCUGAUAAAUCUUCCACAUUUCAAAUCAUU
rnacentral:lncRNA from 1 species